rnacentral:rRNA from 1 species
AUUGAACGCUGGCGGAAUGCUUUACACAUGCAAGUCGAACGGCAGCACGGACUUCGGUCUGGUGGCGAGUGGCGAACGGGUGAGUAAUGUAUCGGAACGCGCCCAGUCGUGGGGGAUAACGUAGUGAAAAUUACGCUAAUACCGCAUACGAUCUAUGGAUGAAAGCGGGGGAUCGCAAGACCUCGCGCGAUUGGAGCGGCCGAUAUCAGAUUAGGUAGUUGGUGGGGUAAAGGCCCACCAAGCCAACGAUCUGUAGCUGGUCUGAGAGGACGACCAGCCACACUGGAACUGAGACACGGUCCAGACUCCUACGGGAGGCAGCAGUGGGGAAUUUUGGACAAUGGGCGAAAGCCUGAUCCAGCCAUUCCGCGUGCAGGAUGAAGGCCCUCGGGUUGUAAACUACUUUUGUACAGAACGAAAAGGUUUCUACUAAUACUAGGAGCUCAUGACGGUACUGUAAGAAUAAGCACCGGCUAACUACGUGCCAGCCGCCGCUGUAA